rnacentral:rRNA from 1 species
GAGGGAAAAUGACACAGCUCCAUUUCGGCAGGGUGCUAUUGUGGAGGUGGCCCAUUUAUGCUUCGUUUAUACGAGAUGGUGCGUUGUCUUCGUUUGAGCGUCGUCAGGGAGGAGGGAGCAGUCGGUGACGGACCAGAAGAGCUACCUCCACCUCCUCAUCCCCCAGGGCGGCCUAGUCUCCGCACGCCCGUGUCGCGACCCGUAGAGGCCGUCGCCGCCGCUGGACGUCCGGAUCACGAUACCACCCCCGCGAGCUAAAUUAGGUCGCGGUACCUGGCCAUGGACGUCUUCACUCUCUUCUACUCCCUCUCUCUCUUCCUUCCUCUCCUCCCUCUUUCUAUCUCCUUUCUCCUCUCCCUCUACGUCACCGCCUACCCUCUCCUAGCGGCCGGCCGUGGGCGGUAGCGUAGAGAGGAGGGGAAGACCAGAGCAGCUGGCAUCACGGGGAAGGGGAGACCAGUUGCAACUCCUUAUACCCCUUGUGUCUCGGUCGCUCCUUCUGCCAAGCCGGGACGGCGGCUACGGAGGGCCGAUGAAGGUAGUGCGUGGCAAGCCAGAAGAAGUGAGUGCCAGGAAUAGAAUUCGCCUGCCUUGUGCGUCGGCGUAGGCGUUUCACCGUCUUCCCAGGCCCGACGUAGCCACCACCAGGCUCGCGACGGCGGAGGUAGGGGCGUGGUAGAAGCAGUGUGCGUCGGCGGAGGAAGGCGUGGGGAGAAGAAGCGCAGGAUAGUCCCUCAUUGUUAUAAUAGCUCAAUCGUAGGAAAAGCACCUUCUCCUCACCCUUAAAUUUCCACGUACGAUGUAUGAGGGAGGCAAGCCUUAAUGAACAGCGUCUUCACCUACAUAGAUCUGUAUAAAAUCAAGAUGUAUGUAGGUAAAGGCUCUGUUCAUUAAAGCUUGCCUCCCUCAUCUUCGAAUCUAGACAUUAGUUCGACACCUUCUCUAAUGACCUUCUCUGUGAAGAUAUUCGUCUCAACUUCUCGAGAGGUCCGAAUUCUAGAAAGAUCCUAUUAACGAAGCGAUUUAGACUUCCUAAGCGAGUACACGGUUUCGGAAGAACCCCUUCGGAAGGACCUGAGGACCAGUUGGUGCUGUUAGUGCUGUCCCACUCACCUAAAACUUAGAAAGAACGCGGCAGUCUAGCCUAAGCUACACAUAUACCAUCAAUACCUGACGACUGACGACUUACAACACAAAGGAGACACAUGAUACACUCGAAUUCGCUCGCCUUGUGGUUUCCUCCCAGAACCCCUACUGCCUCCGAAGCUGCUGUUGGAGUUUCCGCUCUCCGACUAGUUUCACCCUUGUCUCGGUCUUUCGCCAACUCCGUGGUGGAUGACAUCUCGUCUGUUGGAACCUCAGCGGCGUCUGUAGGAAGUUCACAUCGUAGCUUCAACUAUGUUCUGUUCCUCCUUCCGCGGUUAGUCGGCACGACCGACGACGCUGACAGUCACGAGACCAUCGCGCCAUGAGGACCAGUUCUCUGACGCCGUGUCGACGUCCGGCGUCCGCGUACUGACCGACGUGGUACCGCCUGUCCCCAAGAGUUAGAUACUCUGCGGCUUCUCACUGCCCCUACGGCCUCACCUGCACUUCUGCCUGUAACGAACAAAUAAACGACUUAAACCAAGUGAAAACCUAUUCGGUAUGUAGUCCCUUAGUUAGUCGUACUUUUGGUAACUUUUCCCGCCCUCAAAUGGACCGUGGCGUGUCAACGGCACAGUCCGCCGCGCGGUACCCGCGCGGGGUUGGCGAUCAUAAUGUGGUAUACACCAACGUACAAGAGAAAGUGUUUAUAAUACACCAUGGUCUCGUGUAUCUGGAGUACGAUUACGGAGAAGAAUCCUCGUUGGCUCAACGCUCACCCCGAAGAAAAAGGUAGUAACCGUGAAGUACGUGGUAGUACUGGUUGAACACAACGUAGAGGUUAGUUAAAAAGGAAGAACAUUCCUUGAAACAAAAUGAGUAUCAAGAAGGUGAAGAGGAGUAAAAGUUCGAUGUUUAUUGUUUACACGUUUCACUUAUCAAUCGGAUAGAAGAAACACGGAAAAAAGGAGCGGGAAGAUGUUAAGAACUCGUAGAAGUGGAUGUAUGGUGUUCACUCUCGUCUUCAAUCCAUAUGUUCUCUACUUCUUUAUUAACAAAUUAAACUUUGUUCGUUAGUGUAAUAGAACCUCUAAAGAUGGUGAAACCAAGUAU